CUCUGAUCACGUUCAGAUGGAUUAGUUUAUAUUCUCUGCUCCAUCCAGCUCCACAGCUGUACACUCCAGCAUCUGUCAGACUCAGGUUUCUGAUGAUCAGUGUAAAUGAUCUCUUCUGAUGAUCGUCCAGCAGAGAGAAUCUGCCUUCAGACACUGAUGACUGUCCUCCAGCUGAUUUUAGGAGAAGCUUCCUCUCUCUGUAAGGUCCUUUAUAGAAGUAUUUGUCUGAGUUUUCAUAUCCUUCAGCAUAAGGACAAUUCAGAAACCCUUGUUCUCCUUCUGUUCCUCUCACUGUAAUAUCCACAGGCACUGAACUGCUCACUGCAC